rnacentral:tRNA from 1 species
GCUAGUGUGAUGCAGUGGUUUAAGCAUUGGACUAUGACUCUGAAGACCAGGGUUCGAAUCCCCACUUCGUCA